UACGUAGGGGGCAAGCGUUAUCCGGAAUUACUGGGUGUAAAGGGUGAGUAGGCGGACAGGCAAGUCAUGUGUGAAAUCUCGGGGCUUAACCCCGGAGCUGCACAAGAAACUGCAGGUCUAGAGUACAGGAGAGGCAAGCGGAAUUCCUAGUGUAGCGGUGAAAUGCGUAGAUAUUAGGAAGAACACCAGUGGCGAAGGCGGCUUGCUGGACUGAAACUGACGCUGAGUCACGAAAGCGUGGGGAGCAAACAGG
rnacentral:rRNA from 1 species